rnacentral:rRNA from 1 species
UCUUCCCUCUUUCUUCGUGCCUAAUACAUGCAAGUCGAGCGAACAGACGAGGAGCUUGCUCCUCUGACGUUAGCGGCGGACGGGUGAGUAACACGUGGAUAACCUACCUAUAAGACUGGGAUAACUUCGGGAAACCGGAGCUAAUACCGGAUAAUAUAUUGAACCGCAUGGUUCAAUAGUGAAAGACGGUUUUGCUGUCACUUAUAGAUGGAUCCGCGCCGCAUUAGCUAGUUGGUAAGGUAACGGCUUACCAAGGCAACGAUGCGUAGCCGACCUGAGAGGGUGAUCGGCCACACUGGAACGUAGACACGGUCCAGACUCCUACGGGAGGCAGCAGUAGGGAAUCUUCCGCAAUGGGCGAAAGCCUGACGGAGCAACGCCGCGUGAGUGAUGAAGGUCUUCGGAUCGUAAAACUCUGUUAUUAGGGAAGAACAAAUGUGUAAGUAACUAUGCACGUCUUGACGGUACCUAAUCAGAAAGCCACGGCUAACUACGUG